rnacentral:rRNA from 1 species
UACGUAGGGUGCGAGCGUUAAUCGGAAUUACUGGGCGUAAAGCGCACGUAGGCGGUCAGGCAAGUCGGGUGUGAAAGCCCUGGGCUCAACCUGGGAAUUGCAUUCGAAACUAUCUGACUAGAGUAUGGGAGAGGGAAGCGGAAUUUCCGGUGUAGCGGUGAAAUGCGUAGAUAUCGGAAGGAACACCAGUGGCGAAGGCGGCUUCCUGGACUAAUACUGACGCUGAGGUGCGAAAGCGUGGGGAGCAAACAGG